AUGAGCCCUGUCCGAGUUGCCAUCCUGCUCACGCUGAGCAGUCUGACAGCUGCGUGGAUCAUUCCCCAGCCACGACAAAACAUCUGGGUGACCCUGGCACAGGCGCUCCAACAGGAAAACAUAUGCCUGUCCACAGCAGCAGCGAAAGACCCAAUGUCUACCUGCCUGGUAGGGAUUCCGUUGCAAGCUGGAGAGUUUCCAGCCAAGUCUGAUACACCUAUGCCUGACCCAAGUCCCAGAUCCCAUCACGCACAACCACACAAUACCCACCAGAAGCAGGCUGUAAUGAUUAGGAACCCCAUAGAAGAGUGGCUGCCAAAGUUACCCAGAGCUGCUCAGGAGCCCCAAGAGUUAGAGCUGUUGGGCUCCUCACCUGCACCAUACUGCAUACACUUCUUCUUUAUCCAACUUUCCAACACCAAACCUUUUAACAACAUCAUACAGUAUCAAGAGGAAUUCACUGGCAGAAGGUGGUGUAAGGUUUUAAGCCAUGUCACAGCAGAUAAUCCGUAUUAUUCACACCCCAAAAGCCUCCCUAAAGGUUUGUUUUUAAUUUGUGGGGAUCGGGCGUGGGCAGGAAUCCCUUCUCAGCUUUUAGGAGGGCCAUGUACCAUCGGGCGGUUGUCCCUGCUGGCACCCAACCAAACCAUGAUCGGCGAAUGGACUCGAAAGAACAAUUCGGUCAGCAAAAUUCAAAAGAGAAGCAUUGACAAUUUGGACCCAAAUUGUGAUGCAGAAGUCUUCCAUUGGGCCAAAUCAAAAAAAGUCGCUGUAUCCCUGUUCCUUCCAUGGGUUGCAGCAGCCAAAGCUCUAGGUGAAUUGGGCCACCUAGAGUGCUGGAUGGUCAAACAGGCAAACUUGACAUCCACGGCCAUCAGCUCCUUCCUAGAGGAUGAAGAGAUUACGAGGCAGGCCAAACUCCAAAAUCGUGCAGCCAUAGAUUUCCUCCUGCUGCUGCAUGGACACGAGUGCCAGGAAUUUGAAGGACUGUGCUGCUUGAACCUAGCAUCAAAAGCACCCAACAUCCAUGCAGCUCUCCGAGAAGUGAAGAGCCUGAUCGGACGAGUCAAGCAGGAAUCUGAGGACUGGUUCAGCGGAUUGUUCAAGGACUGGGGACUCUCAGGGUGGUGGACUUCUGUAAUUAGGACAAUUCUGUUGUUUCUUGUUGUUCUUUUUCUAGUCGUGUUAGCGUUCGGAAUUCUACGUCACAUACUUUUAAAGGCUAUCAACGGUUUGGUCUCCAGUACCUCAGAAGUCACCUGCACAGAGUUUGUGGCCCUAAAGCAAAUUGACAGGCCUGCAAAUGAUGAGUGGCGGAUGAAUUCAUAA
rnacentral:lncRNA from 1 species